GCUGGAUGUGGCUCUGGGCAGCCUGGUCUAGUGGCUGGCAACCCUGCACUCAGCGGGGGAGUAGAAACUAGAUGAUUUUUGAGGUCCUUUUAAACCCAGGCUAUUCUAUGAUUCUAUGAUAUAAUUCCAUGAGGCCACUUCAUAUUUGAAAUGAUCCCUGGACUGUUUUAUUCUUGUGUUAUUUUGUGAAAUAUAGGAGUCUGGGGAAAAAUAAAAAAGAGACACUAGUAAGGGUAGUAUUAAAUAUGAAAAUCCCACCCUUCUUCCUAAAGGUGCUUCGUAAGUCUGAAAGUCCUCUGGGAGAACUGAAUUCCACAUGCACCAUCAUGAGUAAGAACCUACCUCUCUGUGUGUGUGUUAAUGCAGUACUACAACUGCCUUAUUACUAUUACAUUUAAAGAUUUCUACAUCUUUUUCUUCCAAACAGAAUAAAUUCAGCAAUCUGAUACAUCUUUUAUUUCUUUGCAUUUUUAUAUGAACUUGGAAGUCCCUAUUCGUAAUUGCAACUGCCUCUACUAUUUUUGUAGUAGGUUUUUUUUUGUCAAGAAAAAAACACAGACAUAGUGGAUUUCUGAUUUUCUGUAUGGUUUUAUUUCUGUAUGCACAUAAAGAAGCUGAAUGACUGUCAUUUUUGUCGUCUUGGGAACAACUACAGCCAAAUGCUCAGUGCUGUAGUAGAGUGGGCUGCUAGGAAGGGAGACCUUGAGGCCAGAAGGUAGUUAGCUGUCUUGUUCUUGAGCUGAGAGGCUUGGUAAGGUCUGUACCAAGUCCUCCAGAAGGAAUGGCAAGCUCAUGUGCAUACAUGAAUACAAUGUGAACAGCACAUUUGUUGCCAUAGUCAUUUUCAGCUUGCUCUUGAGUAUUUGGAGAUAAAAGAAAAUGAUGCUUUCCUACCUAUUCUUUUGAAAACCAUUAAUAGUAGUGGGGGAAAUGGGACAUUUAAUGAUAGUAAUUACUUUGUUUUUCACAUUUCCCUGUUCCUUUUUCCCAUAUGAAAGACCAUGGACCCUGAUCUACAUGUCCACAUGGACGUAUCUUCACAUGUCUACUGUUGUGUCCAAGAAAAAGUGGUCUCCACCCAAAAUUGCCAGGAGCUUGCUUUUCAUGCUACUGGGUACAAGAACAUUGCUCAGGAUGAGAUGCUGAGUAUCACUGAUCUCGGGGGUAAAUGAAGAGGAUAAGUGCUUUGCUUGGUAGCAUUUGAGAGAGCAAAGAGUAUAUGGACAUUCUAGCGUUCCCCCAUCCAAAGGAAAAUACAGUUUGUGAAUCCUAAAACCGUUUUCAAAAGCAGAGACUAAAUAGAAAACUUAGUCUUCAAAGUGAUUGUGAGUCAGUCCCCUUCAAAGCAUUUCAAUAGAUUUCUUGAAGUUUCUUUCUAGAGUGUAUUCCAAACGUUUUUGUGGGAUGAUAUAUUCUUCCUGUGUCACAUUUAAUUUUUGUCCAUCAGACUGGCUCCCAUUUUGGUUUUUCUUCUGGCACUAAAGGCUAAUUUCCCUCCUUUAAUUGAAUGCAGGAACUGUAUCCAAUGUGACAGCCACUACCCACUUAAUAAUGGGAUAUUGUCUUUCCCAACUUGCACUCACUUUAAUUAAAAGCAGAGGGCUGACCCCAGAACUGAACUCUUCACUAUCCCUCACUAAUACUUUUACACAUUGCUUCCCACUAAGACUCAGCAGAGCACAUGUGAAGCCUUGGAUGACCAACUUUGUUUUCUUGAGGUUGCAGCAAGAGCUGAUGUUACCUUAUCUGCUGCAGUACCCUGGCCAGUGACACGGGGACAGGUGCUGGUGUAGCUCUUGCAGGCUCAGAACAGGAGCAGAUUUGGGCUGGGAAACAUUUCCAUCCGCACUCACAUUUCAUGAUGUUUGGAAUCAGAUGUUGAAACUUUUAGUCUUUUGUUGUUGUUGCUGUUGUUUUUAACUCGUGUCUUUUUGUGGCUAAAUCUGGGAUGCUGACAUGGGUGCCAAGUCCUCAUUGCUUGGCCUGCACAGGACCUCUCUUGGUCAGCAAGCUUCAUGAGUUGCAUUGUGAGCUGGUAGAGCACAGCAACAGCCACCCAGGAUGAAUUCUGUCCUGUAUUUCCAUAAUAAAUGCUCAAAACUGAGGGGGUUAAUCUUUCAGAGUUCUUCUGGAGGAGUUAGAGGAGCUAACUCAGGGCUUUUUAAUGUUGGGAUUGGCAACGAAAAGCACAAUAUUUGGCCGCUGCUAAUGGCUUUCUGCAUCUUUGAUAGAGGAGGUCCACCACAAAGCCACUCCCACCUUUUCUUCGAUGAGUAAAAUGAUGAUAAUGGCUGAAGCAAUUCUUGUAUCCCAUAUGCCACAGAAAAUCUUUGCUGAUGGUUAGUGCUAAAUAAAACUAGAAAGCAGUACUUCCUUCAUUUACCUCCUACUAAUUGACUAAUUAGUCAAUUCCUAAUUGACUUCUUAGUCAAUUGCUUACAAGCACGGCUGCACUGUGAUGCUUCUCAUUACUUUAGUUUUCCCUUAUCCUUGUAUGGUCCAGCCCCUGCCUCUGGUUCUAGAGCCUUGACCUACCAGAAGAUUUUAAUUUCAUGGCAAGCAUCCACACCAAAUACUUAGUCACUGCUGGCACCACCAAAGACUUCCUUCUGGCCUUGUUUAGCACAAAAAUGUUCAUGUUUGCCUACAUUUCUGCCACUGUAUACAGAGUGCUUAGUCUGAGUGGUUGAAAACCUUUUGGUAUGCCACUUCUCUUGACUGUCUAGGAAACAGGACCAACCUAGCACAUCACAGAAUUAGGAAAUCAUUAAGGUUGGAAAAGACCUCUAGGAUCGUCCAAGUCCAAUCAACAACCCAUCACCACCAUGCACACUAAACUAUGUCCCUAAGUGACACAUCUGCAUGUUUCUUGGAUACCUCCAGAGAUGGUGACUCCACCACCUCCUUGGGCAGCCUGUUCCAAUACCUCACUACUCUUUCUGAGAAGAAAUUUUUCCUAACACUGUUGUGCCAGGGGAGGUUCCUAGCAUGAACAUCCUCUGGCAUAACUUUAAGCCAUUACCACUAGUUCUAUCACUGUUACCUGGGAAAAGAGGCCAACGUCCACCUCACCACAGCCUCCCUUCGUGUAGUUGUAGAGAGCAAUAACAUCUCCCCUGAGUCUCCUCAUCUCCAGAUUAAACAAUCCCAGUUCCCUCAGUCUCUCCUCGUAAGACUUGUGCUCCAGACUGCUCACCAGCUUUGUCACCCAAGGUGGGUUCGAGUCCCACCAGAGUCACCGAGAGUGUGGUGCUGAUAACCCCAAGGUCACGGGUUCGUUCCCCAUACGGGCCAAACACCUGUAAACCGUUGACACCCUUCUCUGAACACACUCCAGGGCCUCAGUGUCUUUCUUGUAGUGUGGGGCCCAAAACUCAACAGAGUACUUGAGGUGUGGCCUCACCAGUGCUGAGUACAGAGGGAAAGUCACCUCCCUGUUCCUGUUGGCAACACUGUUUCUGAUACAAGUCAGGAUGCCAUUGGCGUUCUUGGCCACCUGGGCACACCUCUGGCUCACGUUCAGAUGGCUGUCAGCGAAGACAGGGACCUUAUAAGCGUGAGGAAAAGCAACCUUUUACAUGGAUAAAUAGUGAUAGGAGAAAGGGGAAAGGUUUUAAAUUAAAAGAAGGGAGAUUUAGAAUAGAUAUCAGGAAGAAAUCUUUCACUGAAAGUGUGGCAAGGUGCUGGAACAGACUGCCCAGAGAAGCUGUGCAUGCCCCAUCAAUGGGGGUGUUCAAGGCCAGGUUGGAUGGUGGCCCUGGGCAAUCUGAUUUAGUGCUUAAUCUAAUUCCAAUCCCACCUAUCCCCCUUCCUCAAAGCAGGGAUGCUGGAACUAGAUUAGGUCCCCUCCAAACUUUCUGCUAUGCAGCUUUCCAGCCAUUCUGUUCCAAUCCUGUAACACUGCAUGGGGUUGUUGUGACUGAAGUGUAGGACCCGGCACUUGGUCUAGUUAAAGCUAACAAUUGGCCUCAGCCCAUUGAUCCAACCUGUCCGGAUCCCUCUGGAGGGCCUUCCUACGCUCAGGUAGAUCGACACUUGCAUCAACUUGGUGUCUUCUGCAAACUUGCUGAGGGUGCACUCAAUCCCCUUGUCCGGCUUAUCAAUAAAGAUAUUGAACAGAACAGUCCCCAGUACUGACCCCUGAGGAAUACAACACCUCUGGGUAUACCAUUUCAGGCUUUGCAGCAGGGGGAGUAUAGAGGACAAAAAGAUUUUGCAUACUUCUGCCAAGGGUGACCCUGGGAUAGGAAGAUGAGGAGAAGGCUGUCUUGAAAAUCAAAAUAGAAAUCAUAUCAGUCAGCAGUGAUGCUGACUCCAUCAAGAAAUCUUUUUGCAACUCAUUGUUUCCAUCACCCGAGGCAGGAAAAUGCAUUGUUUGUGCAUCUGCCCAGCAAAAAAGCUUUUUGCUUUGGCUGUAGCAGAUAGGUAGUGGAGCAAGGCAUGGGACACGGUAGGAAAGUUCUCUGUUGGUUGAUGAAGAUGAGUUGCAGUAGUUCCAGCCCAAGGACGUCUCCUAACCCACCCCACAACCUGCUGCACUAGGUGUUAUGCAACUUCUCUACAAUUUCUGUCUCUUGGAGUUUAUGCUACCACUGGCAAGCAUACCGCAGACAAUGAGCAAGCGAGGCUUUAAUGUUUUCUGCUCACUUCUCACUCUUCACUUCAGGACCCCAGAUGUGAACUUCUCACCCUGAACUUCUUCCAGGUUUUGAGACUUUGCAGCAGCCAAAUCAUAGACCAUAAAUUGACAUUUCAGACAGUGGUAUCUCUUGGGCUAUUCCCCUCAUUAUUUCACUGCAAUUCACUUUCUGUCAACCUGCUGUCUACUGAAAUGCAUGUGUUCACUCUUCUCCUGUGGGAAGGAGAGAAAGGAGACAGUUCUGAAAGGAUGGAGACCACGUGAUACAGCAAGAAGAAUUAAUACCUCACCAGCCUGUUCUGCAGCAGCACUGCAGCUCUACCAGCUGCUCCCGAGAGCCAAAAGAAAUCCCUCCUCUGAUUGCUGGAACAAAGUAACACCCCAGAUUGUCACCACAGGAUCCUACAGUGAUACAGGAAGAAGUAUAUCUUGUGAGACAUUAAAGUAAAAUGAAGGCAUGGACAGGCACUGUCCUUCACAACAUUCCCUCUACUCCCAUACACAUCCCAAACUCACACGUUUGUCUGCCACUGGCUUAGUCAUCACAGAUUAAAAAAAGAACACAAGGCAAGACUGGUUGAGCCAGUAGUAGAAUCUUGCUAAUUAAUACCAGCCAGCAGCAGGGACAAAAACAGUGCUCAGCCUUGCUGACUGCUUCCACAAUAAACCAAAACCGUCAUUCCAGCAAGAAGGUUACCACAGAUCUCCACCAUAAAAGGAGAAGGUUGCUCUUAAAAUCUAACUGUUGUGGAUGAUAAAUGUAAGACUGUCUAAAUAAGAAACAGCUCACUUGGCUAGUUAUCUAUGCUGGCCCCUACUGCUACUGAAGAAGUUCCUCUGAACUACCCAGAGCAAAAUAAAAACCAGCUGAGUAUCUUUUCUUAGAUGGCUAGGAUUCAGAUUCACAUCCCAGAUUGUCUGUCUUGCUGUUGGCUUCAUUCUUGGCAUGAAACUGGCCCUGAGGUACCAGACUGGGAAGGAGAGGCAAGUGUGAGUUCAGAGCUGUUAAACCUUCAGCUUAAAAAUCACAUUCACAAAUGCAAAAUAUUCACCUUUCUAAACAGCAGACUGUUAUUUAAGCAAAAAAAAAAAAAAAAAAAAAUUAAACAGGGACUUCCACAGGCUAGCAUCUGACAAGUGGCAAACUGGUGUGUGCCAGAAGACCAAGUCUGGUCUGCCUGUAAUUAAAGUGGAUUCACUUCUACUUCUUCAGUGCCAAUGCCUAGCAAAUAAGCUUGCUUUGGAAACCAAUCAAAUUUAUAAUAAAUAAAACAACAGCCUCUAGUGUGAGGAAGGGCACAACACCACACAACUCUUUUCAUUGGGAAAAGGUGUCAGACAAAGAGAAGGAUGUUUUUCUCCUUAGAAAAAUAACAGUAUGUGCUUCCGGGUAAGUGCUUGUCUCUCUCCCCAAAUUACACUGCCGCCUACCCCACCCCCAUUUUGGGACAUCUGAAGUGACCAAAAAGACUGAAUAUUCUUAACAACUAAGAAAAUCCUAGAGUUACAGUCUAGAGAUAUAUCACGUGUUUCCCAAGGACUCUGAAGUAGGGAAAAAUAGCUCACUUCAUCAUCUCUGUCUUGUUUCACAUAUACUUGUCCAAACAGCAACAGCUUGCUACACAUAAGUUGAAAGUUAAAGGUUUAUUAGAAAAAUGCUUCAUCUUUUAUGAUAUUGUGUAUUUUACACACUCAAUUAAGAUGCUUUUAAUCACUUUCAUUCAAAUUCAUAAUUUGUUAGUAAGUUCCUCAUGCAAUUUCAACAGCUAACAUACUUGUACAGACAGAAUGAGUACUUGUAGUAGGAGAUCAUCUUACUGAGGAGCAGAGAGUAUUUUCAGGAAAUAUUAACUCUUUGUACUGGAAAAUCACAGGAGCAACACCAUGAUGAUACAGCGUCAGCAGUUGUUCCAAGUUCCCUCUCCAUCCACUGAGGAUUUGCAGGGGAUGGAAAUCCAAAAGUCAUCACUAAAUGGGCCACAAAUCAAGACUUAAAAUCAUGAAUAGUUUAACUGGAACACAUCUCUGCUCUAAAUGACAAGCUGUUAUUCCUCCCUCUGCCAAACCUAGAGGUUCAGGAACUCUAAUGAGGUCAUUCAUCUUCAAUGGCUGAAAGUACAGUUCUGUUUACUGAGCAAUCCCUGAGAUUAAACAUAACAUUGAGCUUCUUUUCAAUAACGAGAAACACUUACACAGUAGGUUUAAGUUUUAAAUUUCUUGGAUAACAAAUCUCUCACCAUGUUUGUAUUUUCCACUUUGGUAGAAAAAAAUAACGAUGUAGAAGUCAACAUCUAUUGCAUUAUGCUUUGAAGAGGUUUAUAACAAAAGAACUCAAAUUAAGAACAUCUGAAGGUAGAUAAAGUCUAUUGUCUUGGAGGAAUGAGGAAGGCACUGGAGCAAAUAGCUCCCAUUAACCUUACUUAGCCCCUUUCAGAAUUGUAAGAUGGCAUCAAAACUUUGGAGAAUCUAACCAGGGAAAGAGAGAGAGAGGAAAGACUGACAGUAGCACAUAGAUACACCUACUAACAAGGCACCAUGGGACUGGUAACAGGUGAUACCACUAUGAACCACACAUAAUUGGCAGCAUAAGUCUUGACUAGUUGAUGGUUUAUUGAGUCCAGUGGUUCCCAACUGCACACCCUUCUUUUCCUCCCAUUUUCAUUUUAACAUACACCUGUAGGAGUAGUGGCAAGCAUCUCUACUCAGAAUGGUACCUGAAAUCACUGUCCAUGGGGCUGAGUGCUCCAGGGAAUUUGGAAGUGCCUUCGUAUCCACUAAAAAAACACAUCAAUACCUACUUUUAGAAAGUCCUAUUGUACCCAUCAGACUUAGAAACGCAACGGUCAGACAUUCCAUGUGAAAAAUAAAAAUACAUAGCCACUGGCAUCAAGUUGGAGUAAGAUUCUGCAUGUUCCUUAACUGAAUGCUCAGGCACUCUGAAGAAUGAACUCAGUCACAACUAUUCUACUUCUUUAUCCAGUGAACUCAGCACCUUGUCCUAUAAUAGAGAAAGAAAAUUUAAAUUUUAAAAGCAAUGAUGACUGUGAUCCUAGUUUCAAAUCUGCUGAGGUCAGUCCUUAGGUUUGCCAGUUGAAUUUCCUGAACUCACAUGCUGUCUAUUCCAAUGGACAUAUACUUUACAGUACUUCAUGAAGCACAGAUCUACUAGGAUCACUUGCCUCUCAACAAGGUAGGUAAACAAGCUACAAAGGGCAGCGGCUGUGCACCACUGCUGGCAAAAAGCACUUUCCACAGUUGAUUUUGAAAUUGGGAUAUGAAGAUAAACAGAUGCUCUUGCGUAUAGAGAGGUGAAUAUACAACAUACCAUAAGGGCAGACUGUAUGAAGUGCUGAACUGCUGUGCUGCCCCCAGAACUCACCAACUUUAGACUUUAGGAAGUAGAUUAUAUCAAGCGUGUGGUGAAGAUUCCUGAUGUUUUUCUAGUCUUCAGCUAUUUGUGGUGGAGAGUCUGUCUGUGCCAGGAGUAUUGUGUUACACUGAGCAGCUCUCCAUGACUGUCUCCUAUUGAUUUUUGGAUCAAUGUAAAUAAACAGCUUGCAGCAUGGAAGAUGUAUUGUGGCAAGGAAAUCCAUAGCAUAAGUACACACUGUGUUAAGGAAUAACUUUUAGGUUUGAUUUGCAUCUGGCCCUUGCUAGUUCUGUGGAAGUAUGGUACUGCUAGAUCAUGCAUGAGUCAAGGGAGGCAGAACUCUUACCCAGCCCCCAUGGUCAUGAAUCCAGAGACUGAAGUGUUCUUGGAGGUACUUCAAUCCAAAGCGCAUGACCAGGUUCGUAGGAUGAUUGUCCACAGCAGUAAGUCUGGCGGCAAUUUCCAGUGCAAAGGCAACUCUGGUGAAUUGUAACUGGUCUUCUGUCUUGUUUGUUGAACCUGCUCAGACAUUCUCCAGGAAUAAAUUGGUGAUCCUCUCGAAGAAGGCAUAGGACAGCAUAUCUUCAAAACGCUGGUAGAAAUUCCUGUCCUUUUUGAACUGAAAAUAAGAAUAAGGAUUGUGCCACUUCUGUUGUAAUUGCUUUCUCUGUUCUACUUAGAAAGGAGAGCAUAUCUAGAUCAUAUAUGCAAUACAAGCUAAUUGUGGUGUUGAAUGCAAGAGGUGACACACAAACCCUGCACCUCACUGCAAAGCUGUUCCUUCAGGGUCUGGAGGUGGCUCUAUAUUUUUGUCUCAAAAAAAAAACCUUUAAAGUUUUUGGGGUUUGCAUGAGAGAAGCAGAGAGAGAGAAAGCAAAACAAGUGUGACAUUGAUAUGUCACCUCACCUGUAGGUGAGGGCAUAUGGGAGUACAUGGGCAGAGGGAGGAUGACAUUGAAGGUAAGGUGAGGAGAAAUGCUAUCAGCACGUGCUGUCCUAAGUCCCAUUUGCUCAGUCAUGGGAGAAAGGGCAGCUAAAGAAGGGCAUUAAGAAGACAAAUACCUGUAUUUUUAAUAGAGAAAAUACUCCUACUAAUGGACACAUGCAAGGGUUCUUGUAUAGCUUCUGAGAAGAGCUUUCAAAAUGCACUAAGAAGACUUAUUUCCCUUUCUAUAUAGCAAUUCCUAAAGCUGUAGGUUUUCUCCUCCUCCACUGAGAACAACAUGUACGUCAAAUUUAAUGCAAGCACAAGAGGUUCUCAGAGUCAGUCAAGUGCCCAAAGUCCUACAAAACUCAACGGGAUUGAGGCAAGUAACUCUUCUGGUUUUAAGAUUAAGAUUUCAGAAUGAAUGGUGAAGGAUUCAGAAAGCCCCAAAUGGUGCAAAGAGAGGUUCAAGACAGAGACAGAGAGGAGGGCUACAAAACAUUAACUCCCACCAAAAGUGUAAUUUCUCUCUGUAGCCUAUGUAUCUCCUGAAAGCAGAAGCAUUUACCUUUUUUUCUAGCUGAUUCCCUGAUUUUCUUAACAGUGCGACUAUUGUUUGUAUAGUCUUUUCUUCAUCUGUAAAAGAAAAGAGUUGACAUAAAUAUUGCUGCCUUCCAAUAGGGUCCAGAGAACAAAUCAUGGCAAAGUCUUUGUGUUACUUAAUCAUGAAGAGAUGCUAUUUUGUGGCAAAUUCACAGAGUUGGGUAUCCAGGCUCUAGAAUCUCACUGUUCUAAUCUGCAUGGAGUAGGCAAUGCUUUUUCUCUGCAUGAUGUUUUGCUCCAUUUAAGAACCUUGGAAGGAGCUUUAGCAUCCCACUGCCAGCCCUGAGUGCUUUGAGGUAUGGCUCACAAAGCAGCAGCUAGCAGAAGCCCAAGAAUAUGGACUUAAAAUAAGGGGAAGAGGUCCCCUCUUCAUUACCAAUUGCACUUUCUGCAACUCAUUAGAACAAACUCUGGGUUUAAUGAAUUACAGAAAAUGUAACUACGACAGGCUCCCUCUUGCAACCAGAAAUCCUGAGGAAGCUUGCACUAACUGCAAACUUCUGCAGAUGCCAUGGAAGACGGGCAGUUCAGACAUUUAACAGAGGUUUCUGGUCAGUGUUGUCCCCUCACUGAAGACUGACAUCAUUGUCCCAGUAGCAGGUUUUCGGCCUUAAAGCCCUAGUGAACUGUUUUUUCCCCAACCCUGCCACUCUUAGCACUGCUCUGGCACCUUGUGUCACUUUGCUGCCAUUCUCCUUUUGCAUGUCACACCUGCCUGAAUUUUUAAGGAUGUUUCCUUUAACUGCAGUAGCAAGUAGCAAAAGAUGUCCUUGAAAUAUGGGAAACAGGGCACGAAUCAGCAGAGUAAACUUCCCCCUUCACAGCAUCUUACCGCAGAACUUCCAAGUGUUUCACCAUUCCUGGAGAAAAUGCCUUGCUCUGCAACACCAAUCUGAUCUACUGCCUAUGAGCUUGAAAUUCUUCCCCCUUACCAUUUACUUCACCCUCAUUUUCAUCAGCAGUAUCUCUGCCAUCUUGUUCCAGAGCCUGGGUAAGCACAAGCAUCUUGAAUGUCACAUUUGAAGGAGAUGGCUGAGACGUGGUAGUAACAAGCUUGGAGAGUUUGUCUACAAUGUGGUUGACAUCUGCUUUUUCACCUGGUUGGGAAGAAGGGUGGGAAAUAAUUAAGGUUAUUAAUCUUUCCCAGAAAUGAUUCAGAGAUUUACUUGUUUAUAUGUUUGCUGAGGUGGAAGUGCCCAGAGGAUACCAAGAGAUACAUCUUCCAUUGCUGGGUCUUUUGUUGUUUCCUGAGAUCAGCUGGUAAUAAUUUAGAGCACAACAUAUUUCCACCCCUCUCUAAUAUUUGAACAGCAACUAAUUAUACAUAGACCAAAUGGAAGAAAGUGUGAGCAUUGCCCACUAGCAUAAAUCCUUGCAACUCAGAAGCACAACAUAUAUUAAGAAAUGGGACUGUGAAUCACAGACCUUAUUAUGAGGGUGAAAUUGCCCAGAGAUUCAGCGCCUGGAUUCCAGAAGGGUGAUGUAUUUGAAUGCUCUCUUCCUUGUUCCCUCAGGUUAACUCUAAGUAAAGGAGAACCAGGCUUCCCUUCAGAGGCACCUCUAGCGCAGAAGCUUCUCAUGUCCUCAACACUGUUGUGUUACGAAGGCAUAAGUACUGCUAGAAUUCAUCACCCAGCAGCCAGACUGGCUUCAUCCACCCAGCAUGUUGACCUUGUUGGUGACUCUCACUGUCAUCCCUCACCAGGGGUAUUCUGCUGGGGUUCCUGCCACAGCCCAAGGAGCAACAGGAAUUAUUGUAAGACUUGCUUCAUCUGGAAGGCACUUGUCUUCACAGUGAGCCUCAUUGAGCUGGGGAUGCAAGAGUGAUCUCACCUUAGUGACAGCUUUAAUGCGACUGGCAGACAGCAAGACAAGCUCAGCUGUGGUCUGACCGAAAACACUUAUCAAAUCCACAGGCAGAGUUUGUUGUGAGGUGCUAAUGCAGACAAUGAAAACUGCAUUUCCAGGGUGAUGAAUCAACCCCCGGACAUUUCCUUCCCCCCAUUCGCAUACAGAGCCACUAAAGUUCUAGGAAGAUGAGUGGGCCGUUUGUGACAGUGUAUGACUAUGUCUUCAGAAACCUAAGAAGAUGAUUUCUUUUAAACAGAACCGGCUCUCUUCAGGCAUGUGAUCCCCCAGAGAACCUCUACUUGCUGCAGAAUGGCCUGGCCAAGUGUGUUUGGCAGCUGCCAGCAGUGCAAGUUAUAAAAAAUAAUGUUUUAGAAAUAAGACCAGCAAUCUGCUCAACAAUAGUUCACAUCUGGAUUGUGAUAAAAAUGUGGGAAUGUUUAUGUUUGUUCAUUGUAGUAAAAUGUAAAACUAUUUGUUGAUUGUGAUAAAGUGUGAAUGUGAGACUGUUUGUCCAUUGUGAAGGAAAGUACUACUAGCCUGACGAAGGGGGGGAAAUAUAAACAUCCUGAACCCCCUGAAGAGAAUGUAAACGUCUAGGUCUAGUAACUGUCCUUGUGAAAACUCGAACAUUCUGUCUCGCCACUUCGCCUCUCCAUCCUAAAUAAAGCAAACCAACCCAGUAAGAGGAAGGUUGCGAUGACAUCUAGCAAUGGGAAAGUACAACUGCAGACGCCAAACAAGCACCCCGGAAGCCUCAACAACCAGAACUGAGAGACUAUAAAAAUAAAAAGCGGCUGGUGGCGGGUUGCGCCUUUUUGAGGAGUCGUGACUCUGCGACUCCCAGGGUGCCCAGCGCUGUUCUUUGCUUGUGUUUUUGCUUACUCGAAUUAAUAAAUACUUUUCUAUAAUUUG